rnacentral:rRNA from 1 species
ACGCUCGACACCUACGGGAGGCAGCAGUGGGGAAUAUUGGGCAAUGGGCGCAAGCCUGACCCAGCAACGCCGCGUGAAGGAAGAAGGCUUUCGGGUUGUAAACUUCUUUUAUUAAGGACGAAGCAAUGACGGUACUUAAUGAAUAAGCUCCGGCUAACUACGUGUCAGCAGCCGCGGUAAUCUGAGCGGGCUGGCAAGGC